UACAGAGGUCCCGAGCGUUGUUCGGAUUCACUGGGCGUAAAGGGUGCGUAGGCGGUCGGGUAAGUCUGAUGUGAAAUCUCACAGCUUAACUGUGAAACUGCAUUGGAUACUAUUCGGCUUGAGAGUUGGAGGGGGGACUGGAAUUCUUGGUGUAGCAGUGAAAUGCGUAGAUAUCAAGAGGAACACCAGUGGCGAAGGCGAGUCCCUGGACCAGCACUGACACUGAGGCACGAAAGCGUGGGGAGCAAACAGG
rnacentral:rRNA from 1 species